AUGGCGGUCGAUUUGGUGCCUCCCCUAGCCCCAUCCUCGCACCCACAGGCCAUGGCUAAGGGUGGGCCAAGCAAUGCUCGUGCCUCUAACUUGCUAUCGCCGCUUGUUCCUUUGGUGCCGGUGGUGCCAGAGGCUCAUCCUAAGGGCAUCCCAGCGUCAUGCGAGGGCUCUGGUCUCACGGUGCAGCUCUCCCAGUCCCCGCUGUCGAUGAGCGUGGGUGGCAGCUCUCCCUCCAAUGUGCUCAACAAGACGCUGCCGCUCACACCGGCGCCGACCACUGGUAAGGCUUUCAAUCUACCUCCUGAAGAUCAUGCAAACAUUGGCUGGGCUAGCCAUGCGUCGUGGGAAUUCAGCAAGAGCAACUCUGGCGGCCAAGUUAAUAAGACGACGGGCCGCAAGCAGGCGUCCAGGGCAGUGCCAGUUCUGGAGGGUACGGGCGCGCCGGAAACUCCCCGUCCGGUGGUGAUGGCUCUCGCCUCGCCUCAUCCUACCUCUGGGACUGGGGGAGGGGAGCGCUCCACCCCUCCCUCCGGUGACCCGCUACGCGACAAGGUGGCGGUUGUGGCGCUUAUCUCCAAGGCCAAGCGUUCCAAGGCGGCUACGGUAGGUCCCCGCCGUUCGAGCAUGAGGCCAAAGGGCCCCAAGGGCUAUCUCUCCUCUCUCGAACGUGCGCAGCUGCUGACAGCAGAGAAGAACCUCAAGCUCACAGGAGCUGGCGCAAGCUGCCUUAGCGGAGGCAGCUGCGACUAA
rnacentral:rRNA from 1 species